ACUAAGCGCACCUGGUGGAUGCCUUGGCAGCUGAAGGCGAUGAAGGACGUUGUAGCCUGCGAUAAGUCUCGGGGAGCCGGCAAACAGGCUUUGAUCCGGGAAUUUCCGAAUGGGGAAACCCGGCCUCCUUAUGGAGGUCAUCACAUGCUGAAUACAUAGGCAUGUGAGGCGAACGCGGUGAACUGAAACAUCUAAGUAACCGCAGGAAAGGAAAUCAAUUGAGACUCCCUUAGUAGCGGCGAGCGAACGGGGACCAGCCCUUAAGCUUCUUUCGUGUUAGUGGAAUGCUCUGGAAAGUGCAGCCAUAGUGGGUGAUAGCCCCGUACGCGAAAAUGCGAUUGAAGUGAAAUCGAGUAGGUCGGGACACGUGUUAUCUUGACUGAAUAUGGGGGGACCAUCCUCCAAGGCUAAAUACUCCUAACUGAC
rnacentral:rRNA from 1 species